rnacentral:rRNA from 1 species
UCUGCAACCCGACUCCAUNAAGCUGGAUUCGCUAGUAAUCGCGCAUCAGCCACGGCGCGGUGAAUACGUUCCCGGGCCUUGUACACACCGCCCGUCAAGCCAUGGAAGCCGGGAGUGCCUGAAGUGCGUGAGCGCAAGCAGCGCCCUAAGGUAAAACCGGUGACUGGGGCUAAGUCGUAACAAGGUAAC